AUCUACGGUUGUACCACCCUGAACACGCCCAAUCUCAUCUGAUCUUGGAAGCUAAGCAGGGUUGGGCGUGGUAAGUACUUGGAUGAGAGAAAGAUGGGAGCAGGCUUCCCUAAAUA
rnacentral:rRNA from 1 species